GAGGUGAGGGGACGGCGAGAAAGCGGGAAGGUGUGCGGCCCGGCUGUGGGGAGCGGUGGGCGCUGAGGAGAUUUUGCGUGGACGCUCCUCUCCCCCGUUUGUAAUGAACAGCUGUUAAGGAACCAAGCAAACAGCCGUUAUCCUUUUGAUGCUCCCAGUGUGGAAUGCUCUGCAUGUCCCAAGCAUGUUGUCUGCUGUGGUUUCAGCAUUAGAUGGGGGGAGAGUUUCAUUAUACAACAAACCUGGUUUGGUGUUGUUUUUGUUUUGUUUUGUUUUUUUGCUCCUGAACUAAGACAUGAAGGCUUUGGGAUUCCCCACUGCCUUGACAGAAUCAGGCAGGUAAAAGCUGGGAGAAGCAGCAGGAGUGGCUGUACAGAGAGCCCCAAAGAGAGCGUGCAUGGGAGCUUCACACCGCCAUCCAGGACCUGCUUACAGCAUCACGUCAGGAAUGGAUUCUGCUUACCCUGACCCUGACCAGUAGGCUCUGCUUCUGUGCUAACAGCAUUGUUUAAACUUGUGGAAUUUAUUACUGAAAAUAACAGUGGAGCAAUAUCAAAAAGAAUGAAAACAGCUGUACAGUUUUGCACUUGAAAUGGUGGAAGUACCUACGUGAAUUUCCUUGGCUCUUGCACUAAUACUUUUCUGAGGGAACUCAGGCUGAGGUGAAUAGACUUCUGCCUUCUGCUGCUCUGCCAGUGCUCUGCUGGUGCCUGUGGAUGAUACACCCAGCUGGGAAGGUGGGUGACUAGAAGUAGGGCUGCUAGCCUGACAAGAACACAGGUGCUAUGGUUGGCAAGUGUUGCUUCUCUUAUACAUAAAACAACAGUGUUACUUCUGUGUUGUUUUUCUCGGUGGUUUUUGAAAAGCCCCUGAAAAUGUCUCCUCCCACUCCAUGCCCUAGUACUCUGUUGCAAAACCUUGCAUGAAAGGUAGAGUUGAAAACAGAAAUGGCUGAGGUAAGAAUCUUGCAGAAGUAUUUCAGGGCAAUAACAUUUCAGCAUUUAUGAAUCCACCCUGCAGACCACAGCCCAAGUUAUAUCCUCCUCAGUGUAGUGGUUUGUCCACCUUUGGGAUGGGCCCUUGUGGCAGACCCCUGGCUCUGCCAGAGAAGGGAAUGUGGCAUCUUAACUCUGCUGCCAGAGGCAGUGCCUUAUCAUGUCUUUAGUCUUCUGUGUGAAGUGGGCAGUUUUUGAACAGAAAACCUUAUUUUACUGAAAACUAUAGGGGAAAAAAAAAAGGUUGAAGGACCAAGUCACCUUUUACUAAUGGGUCAGCUCAGGGUGUUUGGUAAGGAAGGGAAGCAGGAAGGUGUGGCGAUGAUGCCUUGGACAUUGCUUAUGGCAUAUUCUUCCUAAGUGAAGCUGAUUCAGAUUUGGAAAUGAUUUGACUGCAGGCAGGUAGUUUAGAACAUAAUUUCUACCUAAUUUACUUGUCAAAUUAGAUCAUUAAAAUACCUCAAGUGCUUGUGGCUUGGUAUAAUUUUGUAGUAUUUUUAGGACAAAUUCACCAACGUUUGCUCACAUAAAUCUUGUCCACAUGUUCUCUCCUCCUUGCUGUUCUGGAGCAGGACAACUGAUCUAUGGGCAUGGGGCUGAGAGACACACACAGGGAGGACUGGGAACUCUUUGAAAGUGGUAUUAAUCAAAGGCUGCAGGAGGUGAAGGCAUCACCUGAGACUUUCCUGUGACAUUAAUUGAGAUGCAUUUUUGUGGCUAUGUAACUCUGACACCAUAUUUUUGCACAAACAUUACAUUGCACCUCAUUAGAACUUCAGCAGCCUGCACUAUCCCACAGAAGUCCCACAGAAGCAGAUGUACAUUUUUGUCAUUCCCAAUUAGAGAAGGCACUAAUUGUAAACAUUUUUUACUGAUUGUCCUAUAUAGUAUUGCAGUCUUGUACACUCCUCCUUCCCUGCAGAUCUUCAACUUUGACUCUCUACUAAUUAUCAAAUUAAUGCCGUCAUGAGAGUACAGUGCCAAGCCAGACGAUGGGUGUCCUGUUGCAUAAUGCAGUUUUGGCCAGAGGAGUUUUUAGCAAUAGUGAAGCAGGGCGGGGUAUGGAGGACAUGCUCUGUAAUUGGGGUUCAAAGGUACUUCUCUCUGCUUUGGGUGUGUAGAGGAGAUGUUCAGCUGCAGAAGGCAGAAGUGUCAGGAAGUGUCUCUCUAAACAUUUUGUCACCAGGGAGAAGUGAAGAGGGAAGGCUUUCAGAAGCUGCUCUGAGUUGAAGAUGGAUAUUAAGAGCAUGAAGAACUAUCUUUAUUGGCUGUACUGCCAGUUUGAAUUAAUCACCUGCAGCUAUCUCAUGGAGCCCUGGGAAAAAGUGCUGUUCUACACUUUCAACGUUUCUAUGUUAGUGAUGGUAGCUUACACUGCUUACAUCUUUUUCCCUGUCCAUAUUAGCACGGCUUUUCAAUUCUGCUUGCACUUGUUUGGAAGCCAACAUGAAAAUACUGUUUCUGUUGUGAAGUAACAUUGGCAACCUGACAUAACUUUUGGAUCAAAGAAGUGUUUUUCUCAACACCUUCUGUUUAGAAAGACAGGCUCAGGGUGUGUGCAAACACUGUUUUACUCUCUUCGUUUUCUUCUGUAUUCUGGGACUCUGUGACAGCAAAUUAUUUUGCCAAAUCAAUUUCAGUCAGUCCUCGUUUUUAUCAUUUGACAGUGCCUUUUAAAGAGCUUUCAGUUUUAAAGACUGAGUGGAGUUACAAAGCUGGGUUUGGUAAGGAAGCAACUGUGCUGCAUAUUUUGUUACUCCAGGGAGGACUGUUUGGAUACGGAGAGUUUUCAUCUUGGGAAAUUAUACGGCAUGUAUUUGUUCUUGUCUGCCACAGCUUUGCUGACAGGGAAGAUGUGUACAUGAAAGGUUUUAUACGAUACUAUGCAACUAUAGGCUGCUUCUCUAAGCUUGAUAUGCAUGUAUUUAUACAAUGAUUUUAGUAUUUAUUUAGUUUGACUCCGUUAUUUAAUGCGGUGAAUUAUUUGUCUGGUUCAUCUUUAUGAAAAUAAUACAGUUGAUUUAUUGAAAAUGUGAGGAUUUACUUCCAUAAAUAUUUUAAAUAAAAUUCUGAUUUUCUUGGA